AAUAUUGCUACAAUGGGCGCUAAGCCUGAUGCAGCCAUGCCGCGUGUAUGAAGAAGGCCUUCGGGUUGUAAAGUACUUUCAGCAGUGAGGAAGGUGGGUAUGUUAAUAGCAUACUCAUUUGACGUUAGCUGCAGAAGAAGCACCGGCUAACUCCGUGCCAGCAGCCGCGGUAAUACGGAGGGUGCGAGCGUUAAUCGGAAUUACUGGGCGUAAAGCGCAUGCAGGUGGUUUGUUAAGUCAGAUGUGAAAGCCCGGGGCUCAACCUCGGAAUUGCAUUUGAAACUGGCAAACUAGAGUACUGUAGAGGGGGUAGAAUUUCAGGUGUAGCGGUGAAAUGCGUAGAGAUCUGAAGGAAUACCGGUGGCGAAGGCGGCCCCCUGGACAGAUACUGACACUCAGAUGCGAAAGCGUGGGGAGCAAACAGGAUUAGAUACCCUGGUAG
rnacentral:rRNA from 1 species